GAUGAAGAACGUAGCGAAAUGCGAUACUUGGUGUGAAUUGCAGAAUCCCGUGAACCAUCGAGUCUUUGAACGCAAGUUGCGCCCGAAGCCAUUAGGCCGAGGGCACGCCUGCCUGGGCGUCACACGUCGUUGCCCCCCCAUCUACUCCUUCGGGAUUGCGGGGGGCGGAUGAUGGCCUCCCGUGCGCCUCGUCGCGCGGUUGGCAUAAAUGCCAAGUCCUCGGCGACGCACGCCACGACAAUCGGUGGUUGCGAAACCUCGGUUGCCCGUCAUGUGCGGUCGUCGCGCAUCGAGGGCUCGAAAAAAUUGCCGGGCUUCGGCUCGACUUUCAACGCGACCCCAGGUCAGGCGGGGUUACCCGCUGAAUUUAAGCAUAUCAAUAAGCGGAGGA
rnacentral:misc_RNA from 1 species